rnacentral:rRNA from 1 species
GAACGCUGGCGGCGUGCUUAACACAUGCAAGUCGAGCGGAAAGGCCCUUCGGGGUACUCGAGCGGCGAACGGGUGAGUAACACGUGAGUAACCUGCCCCAGGCUUUGGGAUAACCCUCGGAAACGGGGGCUAAUACCGAAUAUUCAUACUNGACGGCAUCGUUGGGUGUGGAAAGUUUUUCGGCUUGGGAUGGGCUCGCGGCCUAUCAGCUUGUUGGUGGGGUGAUGGCCUACCAAGGCGACGACGGGUAGCCGGCCUGAGAGGGCGACCGGCCACACUGGGACUGAGACACGGCCCAGACUCCUACGGGAGGCAGCAGUGGGGAAUAUUGCACAAUGGGCGGAAGCCUGAUGCAGCGACGCCGCGUGAGGGAUGAAGGCCUUCGGGUUGUAAACCUCUUUCGACAGGGACGAAGCGCAAGUGACGGUACCUGGAGAAGAAGCGCCGGCCAACUACGUGCCAGCAGCCGCGGUAAGACGUAGGGCGCGAGCGUUGUCCGGAUUUAUUGGGCGUAAAGAGCUCGUAGGCGG